rnacentral:rRNA from 1 species
GAUACCCCGGUAGUGUUAGCUGUAAUCGAUGGAUGCUGGGUGUGGGGGGUGUAAAUUCCCUCUGUGCCGAAGCAAACGCGAUAAGCAUCACGCCUGCGGAUUACGGCCGCAAGGCUAAAACUCAAACGAAUUGUCGGGGGCUCGCACAAGCAGUGGAGCGUGUGGUUUAGUUUGAUGGUACAAGAAGAACCUUACCUGGGUUUGACAUGCACGUGAUAGGGAACCGAAAGGGGACCGACCUUCGGGAGCGUGCACAGGUGCUGCAUGGCUGUCGUCAGCUCGUGCCGUGAGGUGUCGGGUUAAGUCCCGUAACGAGCGCAACCCUUGCCGUUAGUUACAAGUGUAUAAGGGGAUUGCCCUGGACAAAUGGGAGGAAGGUGGGGAUGACGUCAAGUCAGCAUGGCCUUUAUAUCCAGGGCUACACACACGCUACAAUGGCCGGUACAAUAGGUUGCGAAGUCGUGAGGCGGAGCCAAUCAUCAAAGCCGGUCUCAGUUCGAAUUACAGUAUGCACCUUGAAUGCAUGAAGCUGGAGUUGCUAGUAAUAGCAGGUCAGGUAUACUUCGGCGAAUACGUUCCCGGGCCAAGUACACACCGCCCGUCAGGUCAUGGAAGCUGGCAACGCCUGAAGCCGGUGAGAUAACCCGAAAGGGAGGCAGCCGUCGACGGUGGGGCGCGUAACUUGGACGACGUCCUACCAAGGUAACCAAGGGCGAA